GGGUAAGACCAAACCAGCACUAGAGCACUGGAUCCCAUCUGAACUCCGCAGUUAAGCGUGCUUGGGCGAGAGUAGUACUGGGAUGGGUGACCUUCUGAGAAGUCCUCUUGUUGCACCCU